rnacentral:rRNA from 1 species
GAAACCCUGAUCCAGCGACGCCGCGUGGGUGAAGAAGGCCUUAGGGUUGUAAACCCCUUUCACCGGGGAGGAUGAUGACGUUACCCGGAGAAGAAGCACCGGCUAACUCCGUGCCAGCAGCCGCGGUAAGACGGAGGGUGCUAGCGUUGUUCGGAAUCACUGGGCGUAAAGGGCGCGUAGGCGGCAUGGCCAGUCAGAUGUGAAAGCCCAGGGCUCAACCCUGGAACUGCAUUUGAUACUGCCAAGCUAGAGUUCGAGAGAGGGAAGUGGAAUACCCAGUGUAGAGGUGAAAUUCGUAGAUAUUGGGUGGAACACCAGUGGCGAAAGCGGCUUCCUGGCUCGAUACUGACGCUGAGGCGCGAAAGCGUGGGGAGCAAACAGGAUCAGAUACCCUGGUAGUCCACGCCCUAAACGAUGUGUGCUAGGCGUCGGGGGGCUUGCCCUUCGGUGCCGGAGCUAACGUGUUAAGCACACCGCCUGGGGAGUACGGUCGCAAGAUUAA